AUACCAUGAUGAGGGCAUUUUCGAAGUAGUUCCUUAAAUUGUUCCCAUGCCUCAUACAAGUCUCAUAAUCAUAUUGUUGAAACAUAGUAAUUUUAUUUCAUAGUUU
rfam:Gossypium raimondii chromosome 2, whole genome shotgun sequence.